rnacentral:ncRNA from 2 species
UGUGGUUUCCAGCGAAAAAGUGCCCUUGGCUAUGGCUAGGGGAGAAUAGGGAAUCGGGUGUAAAUCCCGGACGGUUGCGCCGCUGUAACGAGCGACGAAAGCCCCUGAAACAAGCCACUGCGUUCACCUCGCGGAAAGGCUGGGGUGAGUAGGACGACCUCGAAGUCAGAAGACCUGCUUUUUCUUCCCUCAUCAG